UUGGCCGUCACAUUAGUUAGUUGGUGGGGUAAAGGCCUACCAAGACUAUGAUGUGUAGCCGGGCUGAGAGGUUGAACGGCCACAUUGGGACUGAGACACGGCCCAAACUCCUACGGGAGGCAGCAGUAGGGAAUUUUCGGCAAUGGAGGAAACUCUGACCGAGCAACGCCGCGUGAACGAUGAAGUAUUUCGGUACGUAAAGUUCUUUUAUUAGGGAAGAAUAAAUGAUGGAAAAAUCAUUCUGACGGUACCUAAUGAAUAAGCCCCGGCUAACUAUGUGCCAGCAGCCGCGGUAAUACAUAGGGGGCAAGCGUUAUCCGGAAUUAUUGGGCGUAAAGGGUGCGUAGGCGGUUAAAUAAGUUUAUGGUCUAAGUGCAAUGCUCAACAUUGUGAUGCUAUAAAAACUGUUUAGCUAGAGUAAGAUAGAGGCAAGUGGAAUUCCAUGUGUAGUGGUAAAAUGCGUAAAUAUAUGGAGGAACACCAGUAGCGAAGGCGGCUUGCUGGGUCUUUACUGACGCUGAGGCACGAAAGCGUGGGGAGCAAACAGGAUUAGAUACCCUGGUAGUCCACGCCGUAAACGAUGAGUACUAAACGUUGGGUAAAACCAGUGUUGAAGUUAACACAUUAAGUACUCCGCCUGAGUAGUACGUACGCAAGUAUGAAACUUAAAGGAAUUGACGGGACUCCCGCACCRGSGGCAGGAUCUUGUUGUUUAAUUCGAAGGUACCCGAAAAACCUCACCAGGUCUUGACAUGCUUCUGCAAAGCUGUAGAAACACAGUGGAGGUUAUCAGUUGCACAGGUGGUGCAUGGUUGUCGUCAGCUCGUGUCGUGAGAUGUUGGGUUAAGUCCCGCAACGAGCGCAACCCUUAUUGUUAGUUACCAGCACGUAAUGGUGGGGACUUUAGCAAGACUGCCAGUGAUAAAUUGGAGGAAGGUGGGGACGACGUCAAAUCAUCAUGCCCCUUAUGACCUGGGCUACAAACGUGAUACAAUGGCUGUUACAAAGGGUAGCUGAAGCGCAAGUUUUUGGCGAAUCUCAAAAAAACAGUCUCAGUUCGGAUUGGAAGGUCCUGCAACUCCGGAAUUCCAAGGAAGGUUGGGAAA
rnacentral:rRNA from 1 species